ensembl:lncRNA
CAGAACCCAUCGGAAAAAUCUGUGUGGGCGCUGUCCCUAAUGCAGUUUAGACAGUCUUUUCCUUUCCUAUUCUAGUGGAUGAGGAGUAAAGUGAUUUUUGAUGUGUAUUUCUGUAUGAUAUACAUGCCAUUUGAGUGACUGGGUUGAUUUAAAUAUGGGAGGCUUGUUAAUGCUGUGAGGUUGCUUUGGUGCCUCUGGCCAGUGGCUGCUGGUCCCCGGCUGAUGCCGUCCUCCACGACACCCCUCCGCCUCCCUUGGACAUCAAGGGGAACUCCACUUAUGCCGUCAGAUCACUCCUGGACUCCCGACGUCGUGGGGGUCGGCUCCAGUACCCGGUGGACUGGGAGGUGUACGGUCCAGAGGAUCAGUGCUGGGUUCCAGUGGAUGACAUUCUAGAUCCCAACGUCAUCCAAGAAUUCCACAUUUGCCGUCCGCACUGGCCCGCUCCUCGCCCUCGGCAGUCCUUCUGGAUGCACAGCUGGCAACCCUCAUUACGGACACCUGAGCCCCAUCAUGAGGCAUGCCUGGACUCCAUCACUACCCUGAGUACUCCCCCUUUAUCUAGCACUCCCUAGCAUCCUUCAGGCAGUUUUGGUUAUAUUUCCUUGUCAGAAAUUGCUCUUGUUUUGCAUCGCGCUAUUAUUUAUUAUUAUUAAACUCACUAAUUGCACCUGUUUCCUGACUCCAUGUGUCAAUGUUACAGGUUUCUCUAGCUUGAAUGGUUCAAGAGUUACUGUUGGUGGGUAAUUUUAUGCUAAUUUUUACAAAGGUGUAUAGUUAUAAUUGAUACAUUUUUAAUUUGAGGAUGAGACAUGAGAAAUUUGGUUUUGCGUCUAGCUUGAACAGUUACUGUUGGUGGUUAAUUUAUGCACAUUUAUAGCCUGAAUAUUGUAGUUGAUAUUGCAGAUUAAUUGGCCAAGAAGCAGGAGCAUUUUGAAUAGCUAUCACAUUCAACUCUGUCACCAUUGGCCUCAUGAUGAAAUCCCUAAGUGGUUUCCUUCCUCUUCGGCAACUGUGUUAGGAAAGACACCUGUAUCUUUGCAUUGACUGGCUGUAUUGAUACAUCAAGUUGUUGAAGGAAUACUAAAUUCCUCUGUAUUAUUUCCCAAU